rnacentral:rRNA from 1 species
CGCGGCCUAUCAGCUUGUUGGUGAGGUAAUGGCUUACCAAGGCGACGACGGGUAGCCGGCCUGAGAGGGUGACCGGCCACACUGGGACUGAGACACGGCCCAGACUCCUACGGGAGGCAGCAGUGGGGAAUAUUGCACAAUGGGCGCAAGCCUGAUGCAGCGACGCCGCGUGAGGGAUGACGGCCUUCGGGUUGUAAACCUCUUUCAGUAGGGAAGAAGCGAAAGUGACGGUACCUGCAGAAGAAGCGCCGGCUAACUACGUGCCAGCAGCCGCGGUAAUACGUAGGGCGCAAGCGUUAUCCGGAAUUAUUGGGCGUAAAGAGCUCGUAGGCGGUUUGUCGCGUCUGCCGUGAAAGUCCGGGGCUCAACUCCGGAUCUGCGGUGGGUACGGGCAGACUAGAGUGAUGUAGGGGAGACUGGAAUUCCUGGUGUAGCGGUGAAAUGCGCAGAUAUCAGGAGGAACACCGAUGGCGAAGGCAGGUCUCUGGGCAUUAACUGACGCUGAGGAGCGAAAGCAUGGGGAGCGAACAGGAUUAGAUACCCUGGUAGUCCAUGCCGUAAACGUUGGGCACUAGGUGUGGGGGACAUUCCACGUUUUCCGCGCCGUAGCUAACGCAUUAAGUGCCCCGCCUGGGGAGUACGG